CCCGAGCUACCGCGGAGCCACAAGGACAGGAUCGGGGGAACCACCAUCCGGACGUCCUCUCACGGAGUCCUUGGGGUAAAGCCGGCAGCGUCCCUCGGCGCCGCCGGCCGGGCUUGAUUCCCGCCCGCACCCGACAGCUCACCUCGUAGGCGACGGGAAGGACCGA
rnacentral:sRNA from 2 species